UGCACCUCAAUUUCUACUAGUUUGACUUGAUUUGGAAGUAGACUAUUUCACUUGUUCUUUUUACAGCUUACCAUCUAUAAAGAAACUUGGCAUUAGAUUAUCUCAGUCGUUACAUUUAGUGCCUACUUUCCAUUUCUUUCACACUUCAUUAGAUUUCUCAGAUUUAUUUUGGAAAUUGGAGAAAUUUUAUUGCCAAGCAAGGAUUUGAUGAAUCGUCUGUAACAGUCUUUUGUUCUUCCUUGCCAAUUGCAUGAUGCUAUAAAUGCAAUUUAGAGGGGGGACUAAACAUUUAAAUUCACGAUAUUCGUUCAAAAUUUCCAAAUGUCAAAGUGUGCUGAUGUGCACAAAAUGGUAAUUUUGAUAUCCUUAAGAUUUUCAACACUGCUGACACCGUUGUUAAAAGGGGUGAGCCAAGGAAAUAAACCUUUUGUUUGACUAGGUACAGCCAGGUACAUUAUAAGAUUUAAACAAAGCAUCCCCCCCCCCCCCAACAAAAAAGAAAAGAAAAGAAAGGGGGAAGGUGAAAAGCUAGAAAUUGAGAUUGAGCCCUAGCUUCAUUGAUACCUUAGUUUGAGUUUUCUUUCUCCCUCUCAAAUUAGAAGUGUUUGAUACAAUUUAUCAAGAAUAUUUGGCACUUGCUCAGUUCUUGAACCGGCAAAUGAAAAUCAAAGAAACAGAAUCUUUUUUUUUUUUCCUGGUCAGGCAAAAGGAAAAUUUUAUUAGAGAAAAGAGAAUUUUAUCGUUACAGCAGCAUAAUCAGUAUCAAUAUGUAGGGCACUCUAGUGUGUCAAAAUCUAGGCUGAACUACUAUAGAAAGGUGAAGGAGGGCCAAUAGGGAAAGGGAAGGAGAAUUCAAAGUUGCAAGGGAGGAAGAGAAGAUUUCACAUGGGGGGGGGGAAGGAGGUCACACGACUUAGUCUUGCACCAUACCCAGCUCUAAAACAUUCAUUCUCAAAAUCUACUCAAUAGAGACUUCUAAUUACUUCCUAAAGUCUUAGAUUAACAAAAUAAAACUCAAAUUGAAAAAUUCUACUUGUCUAAUAGCUAUCCUUGAAAUAAUCCAAAAUAAAAGAUUAUAUAUCUUCCCAAUUAAAAUAACUCAAUAUUUCCUAAGGAAAGUAAAUCCUAAAAUAUCCUACUAAUCCCAAAAAUCCAAUGAAACUCGCUUCGUCUCAGUCAAGAUUGCACGAGGGGUCAACCCGGUUUAGCCUUGAUUCUACAUCAACUCCCCCGUUGUUGGGAAAAACUCAUCUACGAGUUUUAAAGAAAGAUAAGAAUAAAGACUCACAAGCGGGGGUGAAUUGUUCUUUAUCUGUAUCGCGAACAAAAUCUAAGAUGUGAAGCUUUUGAGGUGAAUUCAGGUUCGGAAAAUCAUCAGGGAGAACGAACUCAUGAUGGUGAACAGCCAACACUGCAUUAAUGUCCAUUAGUACUUGAUCCAUAAUUUUCUCAUUUUCCGUUGUCAUCAUUUGUUCCACAGCAGAAUUGUCUUUCACUUGUAUUGGCACAAUUGGUUCAUCUUGUGGUUGUAUUGGUGGUAUCACUUUCUUUGACGUCCAUGAAGAGUAAAAUUUUGACGCAUGUGGUAAGCUUGAAGGGUGCACACAUUGUUGUCACGAUCAAGGAUCCCAUCCAACCAACCUCGACCCAAUUUAAUGAUGUGUUGAGGUGAAUCAAAAAGUUCACAAAAAGCACCAUUAUAAUAAUGAGAAACAGAGAAUUCAACGAAUACAUCAUCCUUAUACUAAAAAAAUAAUCUGAUUGGUCUUUGACAACAUAUACACCACAAAUCUUGAAACGAAAUUGUUUUUAGUCACUCAUCAAUCAGAAAAUUAGCAAGCUUUCCAUUGGGUUAUCACACCCUGAAUUUGAACACAAAAGAUUCCAUGAACAACUGUGUAAUUAGAAGUACUUUAGGCCCAUUAUGGCAAGAGAACACAUGCGGUCAUACUUAAUGGAAAAACAAUAACUAUUUUUUUUUUUUCAAAGGAUGGCAGAUUUUUUAAAUAAUGGAAGGUCAAUUUGAAAGUUGGAAAUCUAGGGAUCUUUGAAACUAGGUUUGGAUUCUCGGUUCCUUUCUUUUUUUAGAACAGGGAGGGAGAACGAAGGAAAGGAUCCUUUAGCUCUGAUACCACUUGAUGCAGGGGAGGAGGAGAAGAUAUUGCACAAAGUGGGGCUGGAGAAAUGAGCUCACCCGACCUAGUCUUACAUCAUACCCGACACCAAAACAUUCAAUUCAAUUCAUUCUCAAAAUCUGCUCAAUAACUUGGGUUACAUGUCUCUAAAACUGAAAUAGAUACUUCUAAUUACUUCCUAAUCUUAGACUAACAAAAUAAAAACACAUGAAAACUAAAAUUGGAAAGUUCUACUUGUCUAAUAGCUAUCUCCUAAAAUAACCCAAAAUAAAAGAUUACAUAUCUUCCCAAUUAACUCUAUAUUUCCUAAAUAAAGUAAAUCCUAAAAUAUCAUAUUGAUCCCAAAAUCCGAUCGGACCCGGUUUGUCUCGGUCAAGAUUGCCCGAAGGGUCAACUCUGUUCAGCCUCAAUUCUGCAUCAAAAGGUAGUGGGAAAAGGGUAGGAUGAAUCAGAGUUUCAAGGAACAGACAAGAAAGAGGUAAAAUGUAAGGGAAAGCUCAUGUUUUGGGAUAGUGAACACUACCCAUGAACAGUAACCAAUAGUAGACUGAGUAGUAAUAUAGAAGAAAAAGAAGAGAGAGAGA